rnacentral:rRNA from 1 species
UUGCUCUGUGGAUCAGUGGCGAACGGGUGAGUAACACGUGAGCAACCUGCCCCGGACUCUGGGAUAAGCGCUGGAAACGGCGUCUAAUACUGGAUACGAGCUGCGACCGCAUGGUCAGCAGUUGGAAAGAUUUUUCGGUCUGGGAUGGGCUCACGGCCUAUCAGCUUGUUGGUGAGGUAAUGGCUCACCAAGGCGUCGACGGGUAGCCGGCCUGAGAGGGUGACCGGCCACACUGGGACUGAGACACGGCCCANACUCCUACGGGAGGCAGCAGUGGGGAAUAUUGCACAAUGGGC